UACGUAGGGUGCAAGCGUUAAUCGGAAUUACUGGGCGUAAAGCGUGCGCAGGCGGCUUUGCAAGACAGAUGUGAAAUCCCCGGGCUCAACCUGGGAACUGCAUUUGUGACUGCAUGGCUGGAGUGCGGCAGAGGGGGAUGGAAUUCCGCGUGUAGCAGUGAAAUGCGUAGAUAUCUGGAGGAACACCGGUGGCGAAGGCGGCAUCCUGGACCGAUACUGACGCUGAGGAGCGAAAGCCAGGGGAGCAAACGGG
rnacentral:rRNA from 1 species